UGCAGGUCGUCUAUAUCUUAAUGCCACAUCAGGAACACACAUUUAUUUCGAUAAAGAGACUAAUGUAGGAGAGAGCUACUUUUACAAGUUGGUCUCCACAGACACUGGGCUUCCCUCAGCCGCUCCACUGCUGAGGGGAUAUGCUAAGGUUGAGACUCUAACCAUAGCUGAGCGUAAUGAGUUUAUAAUCACAGCUCUAACUCAGGAUAUUGAUUUCAUAUGCACUGGGAAAGUGACAAGCAGCAAGAUAGAGAAAAGGAUGAUGUUCUGUUGCUUGCUCCGUUGUACCAAAAAAAACUGCAGCGCGCCGUUGUUGAUAUGGAAGGAAAAACAU